rnacentral:rRNA from 1 species
UACGUAGGUGGCAAGCGUUGUCCGGAUUUACUGGGCGUAAAGAGCGCGCAGGCGGUCGUUCAAGUCGCGUGUGAAAGCCCCCGGCUCAACUGGGGAGGGUCACGCGAUACUGAUCGACUCGAAGGCAGGAGAGGGUAGUGGAAUUCCCGGUGUAGUGGUGAAAUGCGUAGAUAUCGGGAGGAACACAGUGGCGAAGGCGACUACCUGGCCUGUUUCUUGACGCUGAGGCGCGAAAGCUAGGGGAGCAAACGGG